rnacentral:rRNA from 1 species
UAAUACGUAGGGCGCAAGCGUUGUCCGGAAUUAUUGGGCGUAAAGAGCUCGUAGGCGGCUUGUCACGUCGGGUGUGAAAGUCCGGGGCUUAACCCCGGGUCUGCAUUCGAUACGGGCUAGCUAGAGUGUGGUAGGGGAGAUCGGAAUUCCUGGUGUAGCGGUGAAAUGCGCAGAUAUCAGGAGGAACACCGGUGGCGAAGGCGGAUCUCUGGGCCAUUACUGACGCUGAGGAGCGAAAGCGUGGGGAGCGAACAGGAUUAGAUACCCUGGUAGUCCACGCCGUAAACGGUGGGAACUAGGUGUUGGCGACAUUCCACGUCGUCGGUGCCGCAGCUAACGCAUUAAGUUCCCCGCCUGGGGAGUACGGCCGCAAGGC